AGAGUUAAAUAGUACGUGAAAUUGUUGAAAGGGAAACGAUUGAAGUCAGUCAUGCUAGUGAAAAAUCAGUUUGACGGGUUUUGAGUUCUUGAGUAGAGGCAGGGUCAAACCGUUUCUCUUUUGGACUUGAGAUUUGUUAGAUGUACUUUUUCUUUGGCAGGUCAACGUCGGUUUCGGGGGUUGUAAAAUACUCGGGGAAAAGUAGCUCUGCUUCGGUAGAGUGUUAUAGACCCUGGGAGAUGCAGCCUGCGGGAUCGAGGAUUGCAGCAAAUGCCUUCGGGCUUGUCGCCUGUUCCUGGGUGUUACCUCUCUUGUGACAACAUUCUUGCCACCGGAGGGUACUAAUGCUCACUGUUUAGAGCGAUCGAAAAUUUUGCUAAGGAUGUUGACGUAAUGGCUUUAAACGACC
rnacentral:ncRNA from 2 species